UACGUAGGGGGCAAGCGUUGUCCGGAUUUAUUGGGCGUAAAGAGCUCGUAGGUGGUUCGGUAAGUCGGAUGUGAAAUCUCCAGGCUCAACCUGGAGGGGUCAUUCGAUACUGCCGUGACUAGAGUUCGGUAGGGGAGUGUGGAAUUCCACGUGUAGCAGUGAAAUGCGUAGAUAUGUGGAGGAACACCGAUGGCGAAGGCAGCCCCCUGGGAUAACACUGACGCUCAUGCACGAAAGCGUGGGGAGCAAACAGG
rnacentral:rRNA from 1 species